UUACUCUGAUAUUUUGUGGCCCUAAAUCACACGCUAAAUAUUUGACACUUGCUUCAAGUGCUGCUUUGCACAAGCCCAUUACGUUAUAGUUUUGCAUCACUUUUUCAGCUCCAUAGUAAGAUAAAGUAAGUAAGCUGCCACCACCUUGCAUCAUCUUUUCCGCCCUCUGUGCUAGAGCGGUAAAAGAAUAACAUGAUAUAUGAAUUGCAUUGAGAAAAUUACUUAGUGAUGUAUUAAUAUAUUUGUCCUUUAAUUCAUCUUUAUCGCAAAAUGCGAUUGCAUGGACUAAAAAGUCCAGAUUUUUCCAUUUUGUUUGUAUACUACUAAAAGUAGUAUCUAUUGUUUCUUCAUUUACAACAUCACAUCUCAGUACUAACUCUCUAUCAAGUUGUAAUUCAUCUGCAAUAGGCAACAAUUUUUUUCUAAUGUCUUCAUUUUGAUAGGUAAUUGCAAUUUCUGCCCCGUGCUCUGAAAGAGCCUUUGCUAUGCCAUACGCUAUUGAUCUUUUGUUUAUUAUCCCAGCUAUUAACCCUUUUUUGCCUUGUAAAAAAUUCGUUGUCAUGUAUGUAUCAGAUAAAAUACCAUUUCUAUAAAACUGUCUUCACAGUUAAAGUGAACUUUAGUAUUAUAGUGCUCUAAUAACAAUAAUGCGAGGUAAGUAUUAAUAUUUUUUGUAUCCAAAUCAGUAUUAUCCUUAUUAGUAAAUUUAUCCACUAAAUAUCUGCUCAAAGUUUUAUGUUCAUUAGAAAUUUUUAUGGUUAAUAGUGUUCUACCCUCUGCUUCACUC